CCCUACGGGGGGCAGCAGGGAAUUUUCGUCAAUGGGCGCAAGCCUGAACGAGCAAUGCCGCGUGAACGAGGAAGGUCUUCGGAUCGUAAAGUUCUGUUGAAGGGGAAAAAGAGCGGAGAGAGGAAAUGAACUCCGAUUGAUAUUACCCUUCGAGGAAGUCACGGCUAACUACGUGCCAGCAGCCGCGGUAAUACGUAGGUGGCGAGCGUUAUCCGGAAUGAUUGGGCGUAAAGGGUGCGUAGGCGGCCUGCUAGGUCUGGAGUGAAAGGUACCGGCUCAACCGGUACAGGCUCUGGAAACUGGCG
rnacentral:rRNA from 1 species